GGGUAGAGGAANUCUACACUCCCAACACCUGAUGACAUACCUAUACGUUGCCUCGGCGGAUCAGCCCGCGCCCCGUAAAAAGGGACGGCCCGCCCGAGGACCCCUAAACUCUGUUUUUAGUGGAACUUCUGAGUAAAACAAACAAAUAAAUCAAAACUUUCAACAACGGAUCUCUUGGUUCUGGCAUCGAUGAAGAACGCAGCAAAAUGCGAUAAGUAAUGUGAAUUGCAGAAUUCAGUGAAUCAUCGAAUCUUUGAACGCACAUUGCGCCCGCCAGUAUUCUGGCGGGCAUGCCUGUUCGAGCGUCAUUUCAACCCUCAAGCUCAGCUUGGUGUUGGGACUCGCGGUAACCCGCGUUCCCCAAAUCGAUUGGCGGUCACGUCGAGCUUCCAUAGCGUAGUAAUCAUACACCUCGUUACUGGUAAUCGUCGCGGCCACGCCGUAAAACCCCAACUUCUGAAUGUUGACCUCGGAUCAGGUAGGAAUACCCGCUGAACUUAAGCAUAACAUAACGCGGGAGGAAAA
rnacentral:sRNA from 1 species